rnacentral:tRNA from 1 species
CUCACGGUUGUCUAAUGGAUAGGACGCAUGACUAUAUAUCAUGAGUAUGCGGGUUCGAAUCCCGUCUGCGAGA